AUUGAACGCUGGCGGCAUGCUUUACACAUGCAAGUCGAACGGUAACAGGCCUUCGGGUGCUGACGAGUGGCGAACGGGUGAGUAAUGCAUCGGAACGUACCCAGAGGUGGGGGAUAACGCAGCGAAAGCUGUGCUAAUACCGCAUGUGAUCUGAGGAUGAAAGCGGGGGACCGAGCAGCAAUGUUUGGCCUCGCGCCUUUGGAGCGGCCGAUGUCGGAUUAGCUAGUUGGUGGGGUAAAGGCCUACCAAGGCGACGAUCCGUAGCUGGUCUGAGAGGAGGAACAGGCAAACUGGGAAUUAGGAACGGGCCAAACCUCAAAGGGAGGGAGGAAGGGGGAAAUUUGGAACAUGGGGGGAAGGCUGAACCCGGAAUGCCGCGGGGGGGAAAAAGGGCCUGCGGGUGGUAACCGGUUUUUGGCGGGAAGGAAAGGUUUCCGGCUAAACCGGGGGGUUAUGACGGUACCUGCAGAAUAAGCACCGGCUAACUACGUG
rnacentral:rRNA from 1 species